GAACGCUGGCGGCGUGCUUAACACAUGCAAGUCGAACGGAAAGGUCUCUUCGGAGAUACUCGAGUGGCGAACGGGUGAGUAACACGUGGGUGAUCUGCCCUGCACUUCGGGAUAAGCCUGGGAAACUGGGUCUAAUACCGGAUAGGACCACGGGAUGCAUGUCUUGUGGUGGAAAGCGCUUUAGCGGUGUGGGAUGAGCCCGCGGCCUAUCAGCUUGUUGGUGGGGUGACGGCCUACCAAGGCGACGACGGGUAGCCGGCCUGAGAGGGUGUCCGGCCACACUGGGACUGAGAUACGGCCCAGACUCCUACGGGAGGCAGCAGUGGGGAAUAUUGCACAAUGGGCGCAAGCCUGAUGCAGCGACGCCGCGUGGGGGAUGACGGCCUUCGGGUUGUAAACCUCUUUCACCAUCGACGAAGGUCCGGGUUCUCUCGGAUUGACGGUAGGUGGAGAAGAAGCACCGGCCAACUACGUGCCAGCAGCCGCGGUAAUACGUAGGGUGCGAGCGUUGUCCGGAAUUACUGGGCGUAAAGAGCUCGUAGGUGGUUUGUCGCGUUGUUCGUGAAAUCUCACGGCUUAACUGUGAGCGUGCGGGCGAUACGGGCAGACUAGAGUACUGCAGGGGAGACUGGAAUUCCUGGUGUAGCGGUGGAAUGCGCAGAUAUCAGGAGGAACACCGGUGGCGAAGGCGGGUCUCUGGGCAGUAACUGACGCUGAGGAGCGAAAGCGUGGGGAGCGAACAGGAUUAGAUACCCUGGUAGUCCACGCCGUAAACGGUGGGUACUAGGUGUGGGUUUCCUUCCUUGGGAUCCGUGCCGUAGCUAACGCAUUAAGUACCCCGCCUGGGGAGUACGGCCGCAAGGCUAAAACUCAAAGGAAUUGACGGGGGCCC
rnacentral:rRNA from 1 species